GNANUGGUGGCACACUGAUCCAGCCAUGCCGCGUGCAGGAUGAAGGCGCUACGCGUUGUAAACUGCUUUUGUACGGGAGAAAACCUAUCUACGUGUAGAUAGCUGAUAGUACCGUAAGAAUAAGCAUCGGCUAACUUCGUGCCAGCAGCCGCGGUAAUACGAAGGAUGCAAGCGUUAUCCGGAUUUAUUGGGUUUAAAGGGUGCGUAGGCGGACUUAUAAGUCAGUGGUGAAAUCUCGAUGCUUAACAUCGAACGUGCCAUUGAUACUGUAGGUCUUGAGUACAGAUGCCGUUGGCGGAAUGUGUCAUGUAGCGGUGAAAUGCAUAGAUAUGACACAGAACACCGAUUGCGAAGGCAGCUGACGAAACUGUAACUGACGCUGAGGCACGAAAGCGUGGGGAUCAAACAGGAUUAGAUACCCUGGUAGUCCACGCCCUAAACUAUGAUUACUAGCUGUCGGCGAUAUACAGCCGGUAGCCAAGCGAAAGCGAUAAGUAAUCCACCUGGGGAGUACGCUCGCAAGGGUGAAACUCAAAAAAAUUGACGGA
rnacentral:rRNA from 1 species